AGCUGGCGGCAUGCCUAAUACAUGCAAGUCGAGCGAAUGACGAAGAAGCUUGCUUCUUCUGAUUUAGCGGCGGACGGGUGAGUAACACGUGGGCAACCUGCCCUGUAGAUUGGGAUAACUCCGGGAAACCGGGGCUAAUACCGAAUAAUCCAUUUCCUCACAUGGGGAGAUGUUAAAAGACGGUUUCGGCUGUCACUACAGGAUGGGCCCGCGGCGCAUUAGCUAGUUGGUGAGGUAACGGCUCACCAAGGCGACGAUGCGUAGCCGACCUGAGAGGGUGAUCGGCCACACUGGGACUGAGACACGGCCCAGACUCCUACGGGAGGCAGCAGUAGGGAAUCUUCCACAAUGGACGAAAGUCUGAUGGAGCAAUGCCGCGUGAGUGAAGAAGGUUUUCGGAUCGUAAAACUCUGUUGUGAGGGAAGAACAAGUACGAGAGUAACUGCUCGUACCUUGACGGUACCUCAUUAGAAAGCCACGGCUAACUACGUGCCAGCAGCCGCGGUAAUACGUAGGUGGCAAGCGUUGUCCGGAAUUAUUGGGCGUAAAGCGCGCGCAGGCGGUCCUUUAAGUCUGAUGUGAAAUCCCACGGCUCAACCGUGGAAGGUCAUUGGAAACUGGGGGACUUGAGUACAGAAGAGGAAAGCGGAAUUCCAAGUGUAGCGGGUGGAAAUGCGUAGAGAUUUGGAGGAACACCAGUGGCG
rnacentral:rRNA from 1 species